GUCUAUGGCCAUACCACCCUGAACGCGCCCGAUCUCAUUUGAUCUCGGAAGCUAAGUAGGGUCAGGCCUGGUUAGUACUUGGAUGGGAGAAUUCUAAUGCAUUUCUCAAUUCUCAUCAACA
rnacentral:rRNA from 1 species